UUUAAAUGAGAGUUUGAUCCUGGCUCAGGAUAAACGCUGGCGGCGUGCAUAACACAUGCAAGUCGAACGAUGAAGGUUUUAAGAUUUCUUCGGAAUGAUUAAAAGUGGAUUAGUGGCGAACGGGUGAGUAACACGUGAGUAACCUGCCUUACACAAGGGGAUAGCCUUUGGAAACGAAGAAUAAUACCCUAUAAAGUCAAAUCAUCGCAUGAUGGAAUGACCA
rnacentral:rRNA from 1 species